rnacentral:rRNA from 1 species
CUACGGGUCGCAGCAGUGAGGAAUUUUGCGCAAUGGGGGAAACCCUGACGCAGCAACGCCGCGUGAGUGAUGAAGGCCUUCGGGUCGUAAAGCUCUGUCAAGUGGGAAGAACCCACCCUGUGCUAAUAUCACAGGGUGCUGACGGUACCACUGAAGGAAGCACCGGCUAACUCCGUGCCAGCAGCCGCGGUAAUACGGAGGGUGCAGGCGUUAUUCGGAAUUACUGGGCGUAAAGGGCGCGUAGGCGGCCUGUUAAGUCAGAUGUGAAAUCCCGGGGCUCAACCCCGGAAGUGCAUCUGAAACUAAGAGGCUUGAGUAUGGGAGAGGGAAGUGGAAUUCCUGGUGUAGAGGUGAAAUUCGUAGAUAUCAGGAGGAACACCGGUGGCGAAGGCGACUUCCUGGACCAAUACUGACGCUGAGGCGCGAAGGCGUGGGGAGCAAACAGGAUUAGAUACCCCGGUAGUC